rnacentral:tRNA from 1 species
AGGAUAAUAGUUAAAUAAAAAUAACAUUUAAUUUGCAUUUAAAAAAUAUUGAACUUCAAUUUAUCUUA